GUCAGCUUGCAGACAACCAAAGGCUAUUCCAAGGAGAGAGCCUGGAGCCAGAGAGAAUGGUCCCUGGGACCCAGACACCCUCAUCCCAGGAGUUGGUGACAUUCAAGGAUGUGGCUGUGGAAUUCACCAAGGAGGAGUGGCACCUCUUGGACCAUUCUCAGAAAGAGUUGUACAAGGAGGUCAUGCUGGAGAAUGCCCAGAACCUGCUCUCUGUGGGUGGACUGACCAAGUUUGAAGUGAAGGAGAUGGCUACAAAGGUG